CCAAUACUCCUUCGCGCAAUCGCGGAGAAACCGUACACAGCGUGGAUCCCAAGUGCUCAUGAGGAGAAGACGGAACUUGGGUCUAAGUAACCAGAGGAGCAAGGGCUGGGCAAGACCGGGGCCAGCCGCCGCGGUAAUACCGGCAGCUUAAGUGGUAGCCGCAUUUAUUGGGCCUAAAGCGUUCGUAGCCGGAUAAUAAAACUUUUGGUUAAAUCCUGCUUCUUUCUUGUGGAAAAUCUAGGAAAACUGUUUGUUUUUAGACCGGGAAAGGUUGGAUUUACUCUUAGGGAGGGGGGGAAGGCCCGGAACCCAAGGGAGCCCCCCGGGGGGAAGGGCUUUAAUUGAAACGGGGCCGACGGGGAGGAAAGAACCUUUGGGGACCAAGCCGGAUUAAAUACCCGGGAAGUCUGAGGGGAAAAUGAUGCGGUUUAAGUGGGGGGGAUCUACAAAACGCCCCGGGGCGGAAGGGUAGCGGUUAAAUUCUCCCCCUGGGAAGUACGGGCCCAGAGAUGAAACUUAAACAAAUUGGCGGCGGAAAGGCCCAUUUCGUUUAAACCUGCAGGACUAGUCCUUUUAGUGAGGGUUAAUUUUGACUUUGGCGAAUCCUGGUCAUAGCUGUUUCCUGAACUUAAAUUCCCCCUUCUUCAUUCCCGGCGCUUGGUUUUUCACGAAAAUUGAGAGUUUCCCGCCUGCUGCCCCC
rnacentral:rRNA from 1 species